rnacentral:rRNA from 1 species
GACGAACCGUGCGAACGUUGUUCGGAAUCACUGGGCUUAAAGGGCGCGUAGGCGGACUGCCGCGUCUGGGGUGAAAUCCUCCGGCUCAACCGGAGAAGUGCCUCGGGUACGGGCGGUCUCGAGGGGGGUAGGGGCGUGCCGGAACUGUGGGUGGAGCGGUGAAAUGCGUUGAUAUCCACAGGAACUCCGGUGGCGAAGGCGGCACGCUGGACCCCUUCUGACGCUGAGGCGCGAAAGCCAGGGGAGCGAACGGG